UACGGAGGGGGCUAGCGUUGUUCGGAAUUACUGGGCGUAAAGCGCACGUAGGCGGCUUUGUAAGUUAGAGGUGAAAGCCCGGGGCUCAACUCCGGAAUUGCCUUUAAGACUGCAUCGCUAGAAUUGUGGAGAGGUAAGUGGAAUUCCGAGUGUAGAGGCGAAAUUCGUAGAUAUUCGGAAGAACACCAGUGGCGAAGGCGACUUACUGGACACAUAUU
rnacentral:rRNA from 1 species